rnacentral:rRNA from 1 species
GAUGAACGCUGGCGGCGUGCCUAAUACAUGCAAGUCGAGCGAACAGACGAGGAGCUUGCUCCUCUGACGUUAGCGGCGGACGGGUGAGUAACACGUGGAUAACCUACCUAUAAGACUGGGAUAACUUCGGGAAACCGGAGCUAAUACCGGAUAAUAUAUUGAACCGCAUGGUUCAAUAGUGAAAGACGGUUUUGCUGUCACUUAUAGAUGGAUCCGCGCCGCAUUAGCUAGUUGGUAAGGUAACGGCUUACCAAGGCAACGAUGCGUAGCCGACCUGAGAGGGUGAUCGGCCACACUGGAACUGAGACACGGUCCAGCCUCCUACGGGAGGCCGCAGUAGGGAAUCUUCCGCAAUGGGCGGAAGCCUGACGGAGCAACGCCGCGUGAGUGAUGAAGGUCUUCGGAUCGUAAAACUCUGUUAUUAGGGAAGAACAAAUGUGUAAGUAACUAUGCACGUCUUGACGGUACCUAAUCAGAAAGCCACGGCUAACUACGUG